UAGAUUCAUUCAAACUAACAAUGCAUAUGAGUUUGUCACAGUUUUAACAUAUGCAUUCUUCUUGCAGAUGGUUGAAAAAGAAGGUUAUCUUCAAAAAGCUAAAAUUGCAGAUGGAGGAAAGAAACUAAGGAAAAACUGGUCUACUUCCUGGAUUGUUCUUUCUAGUAGAAAAAUUGAAUUUUACAAAGAAUCCAAACAACAGGCUCUGUCCAAUACGUGGGAGAGUUGAUCCAGAAACAUAGCUUCUCAUUACAAUCUACCUCACUUUAAUGAUAAGUGAAAAGGAUUGAGAAGAGUGCUGUAGAUUGUGAUUUGCUACCUGGGACAAUUCUGUGAUAAGAUGCCUGGGAACAGUGUCAGUGAGCGAUAUCUUCAAAACAAAGUUGAGCAACAGCACUGUAGAACAAAAACUGGGCACAAAGCAGAAAGUGUGGAUUUGUAUGGGGCACAUAUAGAAUGGGCCAAGGAAAAAUCAAGCAGAAAGAAUGUC